rnacentral:rRNA from 1 species
UUCGGGGUACUCGAGUGGCGAACGGGUGAGUAACACGUGGGAUGAUCUGCCCUGCACUUUGGGAUAAGCCUGGGAAACUGGGUAAACUAAUACCGAAUAUGACCGCGCACUUCCUGGUGUGUGGUGGAAAGCUUUUGCGGUGUGGGAUGGGCCCGCGGCCUAUCAGCUUGUUGGUGGGGUAAUGGCCUACCAAGGCGACGACGGGUAGCCGGCCUGAGAGGGUGACCGGCCACACUGGGACUGAGAUACGGCCCAGACUCCUACGGGAGGCAGCAGUGGGGAAUAUUGCACAAUGGGCGCAAGCCUGAUGCAGCGACGCCGCGUGAGGGAUGACGGCCUUCGGGUUGUAAACCUCUUUCAAUAGGGACGAAGCGCAAGUGACGGUACCUAUAGAAGAAGGACCGGCCAACUACGUGCCAGCAGCCGCGGUAAUACGUAGGGUCCGAGCGUUGUCCGGAAUUACUGGGCGUAAAGAGCUCGUAGGUGGUUUGUCGCGUUGUUCGUGAAAACUCACAGCUUAACUGUGGGCGUGCGGGCGAUACGGGCAGACUAGAGUACUGCAGGGGAGACUGGAAUUCCUGGUGUAGCGGUGGAAUGCGCAGAUAUCAGGAGGAACACCGGUGGCGAAGGCGGGUCUCUGGGCAGUAACUGACGCUGAGGAGCGAAAGCGUGGGGAGCGAACAGGAUUAGAUACCCUGGUAGUCCACGCCGUAAACGGUGGGUACUAGGUGUGGGUUUCCUUCCUUGGGAUCCGUGCCGUAGCUAACGCAUUAAGUACCCCGCCUGGGGAGUACGGCCGCAAGGCUAAAACUCAAAGAAAUUGACGGGGGCCCGCACAAGCGGCGGAGCAUGUGGAUUAAUUCGAUGCAACGCGAAGAACCUUACCUGGGUUUGACAUGCACAGGACGCCAGUAGAGAUAUUGGUUCCCUUGUGGCCUGUGUGCAGGUGGUGCAUGGCUGUCGUCAGCUCGUGUCGUGAGAUGUUGGGUUAAGUCCCGCAACGAGCGCAACCCUUAUCUUAUGUUGCCAGCGCGUAAUGGCGGGGACUCGUGAGAGACUGCCGGGGUCAACUCGGAGGAAGGUGGGGAUGACGUCAAGUCAUCAUGCCCCUUAUGUCCAGGGCUUCACACAUGCUACAAUGGCCGGUACAAAGGGCUGCGAUGCCGUAGAGGUUGAGCGAAUCCUUUCAAAGCCGGUCUCAGUUCGGAUCGGGGUCUACCCGCAACUCGACCCCGUGAUAGUCGGAGUCGCUAGUAUAUCGCAGAUCAGCAACGCUGCGGUGAAUACGUUCCCGGGCCUUGUACACACCGCCCGUCANGUUAUGAAAGUCGGUAACACCCGAAGCCGG